GGGGAUGGAGCUCAGUGGUAGAGCACUUGCCUGCACAUGCAAGACCCUGAGUUCAAUCCCUAGUAUUGCCU
rnacentral:tRNA from 1 species